CACUUGUCAUCACUGAUGGAGCCAUGAAUUCUGCUCUGAAUUCAAACUAUUCUACAGAGAAGAGUGGACCAGAAUUCCUCCAUAGUGAUGGAAAAGACCGAUCACAAGCUGGAACAAACAUUUAACUGCAGUAGUUGCUGCCAAGAGACCAACCAGUUAUCUGGGUCAGGAGGGUAAUUACUUUUUCACAGGGUGACAUAGACUUGUGGGUUAUUUCUGUCUAAUAUUCAGUAACUAUUGUUUGUAUUGUAUUAGUUUGGUGAUCUUAAACAUUUAAGUGAGAGAAAUAUGCAACAAUAGAAGAUAUGUUUGCGUUUUAUUCUGUGAUUUUAAUUUCACUGUUCUCUUCUAAAGGCAUCUCUGUUAAGCCCCUCCAGUCAUCUUGUGAAUGCUGCUAUAUAAAUGAACUUAUUUUGCCCUAUCAUGACAGAAAGAGGCGUUUACUUACGACUGUAGCAAAAAAAUGGAUGUUUUUCCACGCAGCUCCUGUCCGUCAUCCCCAGAUUGUUCACAUCCAGCACCCCACAGUUUCCAGCUGGGGUCGGAUGGAGGGGUUUCCAGGGAACGAACGAGGCCUCGCUGCCGUCCGACCACCUCCAGGUCGCCCUCGUCAUCCCGAUCCAAACCCGCUGUCGGUUCACCAUCUUCUGCAGGUGCUCGUUCUCUGCCCGGUUCCUCACUCUGGCCAGGUCUGAGUGCAGAUUCCUGCAGUGAAGCUGAGCCGAGGCCCAGUCCAUGGAGCUGCUGACCAGGACGAACCUCUGAGAAAGAUCAGCUUCAAACCCUGAAAAGUGCGUUCUCACCGUUGUAGCAGAAGAAGCUCAGACUGGAGCUGCAGUCUGUAGCCGACCAUCCUCCAGACUCCGAUAAGCUCCCACAGAGAUGGCUGCCGGGUUCUUCAGCGGCCCAGUUCCAGUAGGCCGGUUCUCCUUCCUUGUAGUCAUCUGCUUCGGACCGUGACCAGCCCCAAACUCUGUGCAAACCCAAGAACACGUCUGAAAAUCCGUCUCCCACCAGAGCGGCCAGCUCGGCCAGCUCCUGCUCGUCGUUAACGCUGACCAGAUCUUGGUGUUCAUCUCGGCAGUAUUUCUGGGCUUCAGACCAGGCUGUUGGUGUGUCAACGAAGUGGAACCGAGGAGGAGAAAGCGAAGAGGAGAAACGACACAGACCUGCAGGUCGUGUUAGAGGAAAAUAUCAAUUUUGCUUUCAUAUUCUUCACCGGACUCCUCAGUUAUGGAUCUUAAAAUCAUUAAAGAAUGUUACCUGAGAGUACAAAGAUGCCAAAUAUUCUCCUGUCCAUGGUGUGUGGUUUCAGCAAAUUAAAAAGUUUUCACUCCUGUCAUGUAAACCAUCAUUAGUAUCACUGUUAUGUGAUUGAUGAGGAUGAUAAUAAAACCCAGCCCUGAUCCGGGAAGUUUUCAGGUGAGAAUCUGGG